AGCAGCCGCGGUAAUUCCAGCUCCAAUAGCGUAUAUUAAAGUUGUUGCAGUUAAAAAGCUCGUAGUUGAAUUUCGGGAUUGACGUGACGGUCGUGCCUUAAGGGGUAUGAACUGUCGCCGUUGAUUUCUCACCUUCUGGAGAAGCUCGAUGUCCUUAAUUGGAUGUCUUGUGGAACCAGGACCUUUACCUUGAAAAAAAUUAGAGUGUUUAAAGCAGGCAUUUUGCUCGAAUACAUUAGCAUGGAAUAAUAGAAUAGGACGGCAUGGUUCUAUUUUGUUGGUUUCUAGGAUCACCGUAAUGAUUAAUAGGGAUAGUUGGGGGCAUUAGUAUUCAAUUGUCAGAGGUGAAAUUCUUGGAUUUAUUGAAGACUAACUACUGCGAAAGCAUUUGCCAAGGAUGUUUUCAUUAAUCAAGAACGAAAGUUAGGGGAUCGAAGACGAUCAGAUACCGUCGUAGUCUUAACCAUAAACUAUGCCGACUAGGAAUCAGACGAUGUUAAUUUUUUAAUGUACUCG
rnacentral:rRNA from 1 species